UGGGACUGAAAGUUCCGGGUAAUUUUGGUGGAAACGCGGCUAUAGCUUUACAUAUGAUUCUGAUUCUGAUUCUGAAGACUAUACAUCAUGCUGCAUUACAUACAAUAUUCCCAAUGGAAUACAGACGGUAAGACAUUGAUGUUUAUUAAAUUAUUCUUCAUUAUUCAAUAAUGUUGAUGUGAUGUGAUUGGGAAAAAUACAGUUUUGCAGAAGUUACAUGAAUGGAGUUCACUGCAAUUCUAUUUCAUCAGUUUGUUUCUGAAGAAAAAACACAUUUCAUUGCAUUCUACUGUUCGAGUAAUAGAAUGAAGGUCUCCCAUACGCUACUUAUUUGUUUCAUUAUAUUGGCCUAAUGUGUCUCAGCAUCUUGUCUAUUAUUAUUCUGAGUGCAGUAGUAUGUUUGUGUUGGUCAGCUCUCCCAUGUAAAAACUCAGAUUUUUUUUACCUUUAUAUCUCCUCCAUUUCGAAACCAAUCUCAAUGCCAAUUCGCAUUCAUGGUACAAUCACCAUGAACUUGCCAACUACUGAUUUUGGUAAUAGAUACGUUACACCAUUACUAUGUUGUGGAUUAAAUUUGAAUGAGACAAAAUGUCCAUAGACUUAACAUGGGGAGACUAACUUGCAAACUCCGGCUAGCUUCUCCAAGUGUGUAUAAUUUAGUCAUUCUAAAGUUCUAAAUGAGCAUUACUGUAGAUGAGAACAGCAGGACAGUGUUAUGUCCAUAGAUGUUGUCACAGGCAGGCAGGCAGGCAGGCAGCAGCAGAUACUCACAUCGACAGUAGCCAUUCGCACUGACUUGCCUAAGUGACAAUCACUUCAUUUGUGAUAAAGUGUCGGAUCGAGUAAAGUGAGGGCAGCCAAAAGAGACCAGCUAGGUCGGGAGAAAAACACCAAAAACUUAGCUAGUGCAAUCCGGGUUGGUCUAUUCUGAGUUGCACUCCAUCUUCAGGGGCGUGCAAUUUAGCUAAUCGCUAAUAGUGACAGCAGGAGCCAGUCACUCAGUCACACACUGACUCUGUCAGACAUGGAUCCAGUAAAGCAAGGGUGAAACCACCAUGGUGCUAUACUGCAUAUGUUUUUGAAAAAUAUAUAAUGUAAGCAUUUGAUAAACUACCAAUGCAUGUUUUAGGAUUAUGUUUUGAAUUUUAUAUGGUAAUAAUUUCCAGGGAUGGUUUAGUCAUAAUAAUACCGAGUUUUACUAAUUAAACCUCCCAGUGCAAAGCCUAAGGAAAUUAAUCACAAAAAGCUAUGUUUUCACUUUAAUGUUUGCAUUUGCCGAAACCCUCAAAAGACAGGAAAUUAAAUUGAUCAGCCCUAACGAUACAGAGGUUAGUAUGCAAUAAACAUCCCGAUGCAGGGGUCAUUAUAAAAUCAUAUCUUGAUACAAAUGAGAAUUUUAAUAUUUAAUUGAAUAGUCAUUUGGUAGUGCGAAUGCAUGAAUUUCAUGAAAUGGAAUGUAUAGAAACUAUAAACAAGACAGAAACCACUGUUUCGAUACAUGCAUCUUCAAAAGUGAACUUAUAUAUUUCUGAGUGCAACCGAGAUUAGGCUCAGUCUUUCCCAAAUUUCCUAUUUCCUGUUUCCCUGUUUCCCUCAGUAAAAACCGGCAAAUUAAAUUAAAUUGAAACUUAAAUUGAACAUCCACACAUAUGUAUAUAUACAUGCACAGUUUCUCUUUUCCCUGUGUGUUACAUUCUGUGUUCAGGAGGCCCAUCCCAACCCAGGAAAGCCCUUUACUGGAAUCAAUACACAGGCCUGGUUACCAAAAAGCCAACAGGGUCAGGAGGUGCUGAAGCUGCUGGAAAGAGCCUUUGACCAGAAGCUGGUUUUUACUGUGGCUGCAACCGAUGGCGCUGAAGACAGAGUCGCCUUCACUGACAUCCCCCGUGCAAGAAACUCGAGUGAGUGCAGAAAGCCUGGUUUCCUGCAGGAAGUGAAGGCGGCGCUCAGAGCCAAAUUCAUUGAAUGAUUGGAUGAACAGAGACGUCAGAUCCUCAGCACAGCACCACCAAAUGGACAAGAAGAGAAACACUCUGAAGAUCACCACAUUUCAAAGAUGGACACGCAAUAGAUAGACAUUAGAAACGGAGAGGAACCAGCCAGUUGACCCUUGCCGUUUAUGAAGUCAGAAAGCAGAAUGAUAACUGAAGAUAGUGGCAGGUCACUGCUUUAGAAACACAUAUGUGAUAAAUCUACUCAAUCCUGAUGGAUCUAAUUCUGCUGACUCUCUCAUAGACUC